rnacentral:lncRNA from 1 species
GCUAUGGGGUCAGUUCAUUAUGGGGCGAGUUGGUUGUGGGGUGCGUGCUAUGGGGCCAGUUGCUUAUGGGGCCAGUUGCUUAUGGGGCCAGUUGCUAUGGGGCCAGUUGCUAUGGGGCGAGUUGCUUAUGGGGCCAGUUGCUUAUGGGGCCAGUUGGUUAUGGGGUGAGUUGUUUAUGGGGCGCAGGUGGAGCGGCGCUGCGGGCGCUGCGGGUUCGGGGCCAUGCGGUACCGAGUGGGGCAGACGCGCAGCGCCGACGAGGGGCAGACCGUCUUCUACUGCUGCCCCAAGUGCAGGUUCCAGGAGAAGGAGGAUUCGUGACCGCCUGCGCUCUGCUAAUUAACCACAAUCUGUUAAUUAACCGCCGCGACGUUAAUUACCCCCCUCGUUACCCUCACAGUGUUAAUUACAGCUCGUUACUGUUGCGGUUUUAAUUGCUGUGCCUUUAAUUGCCGCGCCUUUAAUUAUUUUCUCCCCUCGUUGACCCCCAUGGCGUUAAUUAACCCCCCCCCCCCCCCUUAACCCCUCGAGUUUUUUUG